CUUAGGGCUCCUAAUUUUGUCUUCUGGGAACACAUUCUCCCUAGGACUUCUCAUCUCCUAUUGAAAUUUUUCUCUUCCUUCAAGGUCCCUCCUAAGGGCCACUCCCUCAAUGAAGAAGAUACAAAGCUCAUCUAGAGUCAAGGGGGUAACAUGGAGCCACUGGAAUUAACUGAGUGCAUUUGAGUUGUGUGUGUAACAUAAAUGGAUCUGCACGGUACACUUGGAGCCCAAAAGGACUCUUGUUUCUCUAGGGACCCCAAAAUAGGGUUCAAGUCUGGAAAGCACCAACAGAUUGGAAAAGGGGGGAAAAUGAAGAUGCCAGAAGAAACUGAAGUGUUAGUAUGGAAAACAGUUGCACAACUGAAGAGACAAUGUGCACUGUAUUGCAGGCAGAAAGCUAUGGCGGGGGCAGAGCUAGAAAUGAGAAGAGAGGAAAGUUUCAGCAAUGCCAGUGUCUACAGGGCAUGCCUUUGAAGAAAAAAUCUGCA